rnacentral:rRNA from 1 species
ACUACGGGGUGCUGCAGUGGGGAAUAUUGGACAAUGGGCGAAAGCCUGAUCCAGCCAUGCCGCGUGUGUGAAGAAGGCCUUCGGGUUGUAAAGCACUUUCAGUGGGGAAGAAAGCCUUGGGGCUAAUACCCUCGAGGAAGGACAUCACCCACAGAAGAAGCACCGGCUAACUCCGUGCCAGCAGCCGCGGUAAUACGGAGGGUGCGAGCGUUAAUCGGAAUUACUGGGCGUAAAGCGCGCGUAGGCGGUCUGAUAAGCCGGUUGUGAAAGCCCCGGGCUCAACCUGGGAACGGCAUCCGGAACUGUCAGGCUAGAGUGCAGGAGAGGAAGGUAGAAUUCCCGGUGUAGCGGUGAAAUGCGUAGAGAUCGGGAGGAAUACCAGUGGCGAAGGCGGCCUUCUGGACUGACACUGACGCUGAGGUGCGAAAGCGUGGGUAGCAAACAGGAUUAGAUACCCCUGUAGUC